GCGCUUGCUUCGGCAGCACAUACACUAAAAUUGGAACGAUACAGAGAAGAUUAGCAUGGCCCCUGCGGGAGGAUGACAGGCAAAUUGGUGAAGCAUUCCAUAUUUUU